AUAAUGGGUCAGCGACUUAUAUUCUGUAGCAAGGUUAACCGAAUAGGGGAGCCGAAGGGAAACCGAGUCUUAACUGGGCGUUAAGUUGCAGGGUAUAGACCCGAAACCCGGUGAUCUAGCCAUGGGCAGGUUGAAGGUUGGGUAACACUAACUGGAGGACCGAACCGACUAAUGUUGAAAAAUUAGCGGAUGACUUGUGGCUGGGGGUGAAAGGCCAAUCAAACCGGGAGAUAGCUGGUUCUCCCCGAAAGCUAUUUAGGUAGCGCCUCGUGAAUUCAUCUCCGGGGGUAGAGCACUGUUUCGGCAAGGGGGUCAUCCCGACUUACCAACCCGAUGCAAACUGCGAAUACCGGAGAAUGUUAUCACGGGAGACACACGGCGGGUGCUAACGUCCGUCGUGAAGAGGGAAACAACCCAGACCGCCAGCUAAGGUCCCAAAGUCAUGGUUAAGUGGGAAACGAUGUGGGAAGGCCCAGACAGCCAGGAUGUUGGCUUAGAAGCAGCCAUCAUUUAAAGAAAGCGUAAUAGCUCACUGGUCGAGUCGGCCUGCGCGGAAGAUGUAACGGGGCUAAACCAUGCACCGAAGCUGCGGCAGCGACACUAUGUGUUGUUGGGUAGGGGAGCGUUCUGUAAGCCUG
rnacentral:rRNA from 1 species